rnacentral:rRNA from 1 species
GACGAACGCUGGCGGCGUGCUUAACACAUGCAAGUCGAACGGAAAGGCCCUGCUUUUGUUGGGUGCUCGAGUGGCGAACGGGUGAGUAACACGUGAGUAACCUGCCCCUGUCUUUGUGAUAACUUCUGGAAACUCGGGCUAAUAUCGGGUAUGAUCUCCUGCUGCAUGUUGUGGGUUGGUGAGAUUCGGCUGUUGGGGAUGUUCUCGCUGCUUAUGGGCUUGUUUGGGAGGUAGUUGCUUUCCAAGGUUUUGACGGGUAGCCGGCCUGGGAGGGUGACCGGGCUCAAUGGGCCUACGGGACGGACCAGACUGCAAUGGUCGGCAACAGGGGGGAAUAUUGCAGAAUGGGCGGAAGCCUGAUGCGGCAACGCCGCGUGCGGGAUAACGGCCUUCGGGUUGUAAACAGAUUUCGACUGUGACGAAGAGUGAGUGACGGUAAUGGGUAAAGAAGCCCCGGCUAACUACGUG